UGCAGUGCAUAGUGCCAUACCGGGGAGACAUGGCAACGUGGCCCGAGUUUGGAAAGCCAUCAAAAAAAUAAAUUUCAGUGAAUGCAGACACACUUCUCAGCCCCAAUAUUAUCUAUUUGGUCCCUGUAGAGCUGUAUGAAAAUGAAUUGUAUUGCAGAGGCUGAGGCAAGCCUUUAAACUAACAGACAUGUUGUUUCUAUCUGAAUUCCUGAUCUGCUGGCCUAUAUUGUUUUACACUUGGGGUUUAGGGAGUUUUUAGGUUGUUUUAAUUGUAACUGAAAUGUCAAGCUGUGCGCUUGUAUAAUGACAUUGCACCUAUCUUGUUCCCUGUUUACGUAAUGCACUCCUUUCUGAUUGUGGUGUUUGUUGAUGACAGUUUCUGCUAUUCUGUUUUCCUUCUCAUAAUGACAUUUGUAACAUUCCUCAGAAUGUAGCAUUAUAAAAGGAUGCUUCCAGAGACAAAAGAUUGGAGAGCCAUUUUAAAUGUUGCUUCCUGUUUAAACUGUUUUAAGUUGGGAAACCAAGCUGAAUGCUGGAGAGUGCCUAGGUAAAUGUAUUGCUUCUUCCAGCCUUGUCUGUUAAGAUUCAGUUAAUGUAAGUUUUCAGCUCCUCUAUUUAAGAAUCUGCCUACCCUGCAUAUGUGAACAUAACUGUGCCCUCAGAUUCAUAGCUAAACUCUCACAAAUGACAGUUUUGGAGUACUUCAGUGCUCAUGUGAGGUUUGCUAUUAUUCUAUCCAUGUAGUUGGCUGUAAAUUAUGUGCAUUUAUUCUGUAUUUAUAUGGUUAACUUUUUUUUGUUCAGAUUGCUUUAAAAAUCAAAUCAAAUUAAAAUGAUGUGCUUCUGUUCAAAUGUUGCCUUCUGUGCUAAACUAUACAUUAUUUUUAACCUUUUAUUUUUCCUAUUAUUCAUCUAUCAUCAGUGCCUGAACAGUUGUGAAUAAAAAAUAAGCAAUUCAUUGGGAGAUCGAGUAAAUCAUCUUAUCUUCUGCCAUUUUAUAGUAGCUGAGAAUGUGUCUGUAUUAUACCUGUAAUGUGCUCUUUUUGGAGGGAUUCAUUGAUGACUUAAACUGGGUGAGUUCUUGCAGUUGGAUUUGAACACUGUUACCUCAGCAGAAGGAAGUGUUACUGUCUGUCAGCUGAAUUUCAGUAAGGUGAUCAGAAAACUCGUGUCCAUUUAAAGCGCCAGCCAGUACCAACCACUGCUGACAGAAAUGAAGGGAAGUAUUUCCUUAAAAUAUGUGCUUAACUGGGUGUGCACUUAGAACAGAGUCCUUGAACCAGUAACAUUUUAAGGUAUUGUUUCUUUUAAGAGUGUUUGAUCUGAAGUCUGUCCUCAGAACUUCCUCAGAAAUCAUUCUGCAAAUGUAUCCAUAGGAUUUGUUUAGUGGUGAAAUGCUGUGUUUUUUUUCCCCUCAGUGUGUGUCCUGGAACUGAAUCCCUUGCAGCCUUGAAUAUGGAGCCAAGCUUGAUGUCUCCGAUUUGAUUAUUUCAGCUAUGCAGAAAUAUUUCAAAACUUUCAUUAAACUAACACAUCUGUGAUUAAAUGUUUCUUCUCUUUCAGUAGGUGUAAGUGUGAAUUGACCUGCCUUGCUGUGCUUCUGAGGCCUUCUAGCUUCCAGGUCUGCCAGGCUUAGAGGUGAUCAGGCUUCUGCAGUCAGUACAGGCAAUAAGUGUGCUUAUCCCUGACACAUCUGGAAUUGUCUCUAACAGGCAUAAUUGUAAUUGCCUGUAAUUAAUCUUUCACUUUAAUCCUCUGAAAGAGUCGCGUUGGCAAGGCAGAGCUCAGGGUAAGUGUUUGGGGAUGUUUUGGCAUUCAUGUUGCCUUGCAACCCCUUCUGCUGGAGGGCUUGUAUUAAACUUGCCCUGGAUAAAAAGCAUGUGUAUAAAAUGAAGGUAUGUUUCAAGUCCUAAUUGAGUUAUGGCUUGACAUUAAUGUAGCAGUGUAGCCUGGUGUAGAUGCAACCUCAAAGCAUGUGAGGCUUAACUAUGAUCUCUUUGACAAAACAAAGCCCUUGAUUUUGAUAAUCACUUAACACUAAAACAAAAAAGCACUUCUGGAGACAGUUGCUCCUCUCAUCUUCUAUGUGCUGUUGUCAACCAACGUGCUUUGCGCUGACUCUGAACAUCAUAAUCUUCCUGCACAAGUUUCUGUCAAAGACAAGAAAUACCAGGUAUAGGAGUCCAGCUCUCUAGAGCAAAUUGGUGCAAACAAAAUAGUUUAUUGAACUGUAGAAGAUAUAUUGGAGAGGAGGAGCUUCUGGCUUUGUAAAUGAAAUAUUUCAUGGGAUGCUCUUAAGACUGGUUUCACUAAUGCAGAGAUAGUUGUUAAUGAUAAAGUUCUGUGAAGUUACCUAUGUGCUUUCAAAGACAAGCUCCAAGUGGUGAAAUUUCCUGGAUAGAUUUGAGAGUGCUUCUUCCCUCAGCUGUGGCUGUUUAGAAAUCAGUUUCUUUCCCUAAUCCUGCCCCUACAGCAGACACUUGUGAUGGGCCUGAGGAUGUGAAUGUUCAAAUCACCUGGAGUGUAAAAGAAAUUCUAAGUAGUUUGUUCUGAGACUUGGUCAUCCAUUCAGAAUUCAGAAAGCAAGUAUGCAGUGUGCAAGUGUGGCACAGUAUUUUGAAUUCUGUUAAAUUAGGACUUACUAUAAUUAGAGACUAGAUAAUAGAGAUCCAGUGCUUAAAAGGGAAAAAAAUUCAAUGAGGAAACUAUAGGGUUAUGUGUCUGUAAGCAGGCAGAAUUCUAAGUACAUUGCUUCUGCAAAGUAUGCUAUAGACAUAAAAGUAGCUAUGAUACGUAAGAAUUUAUGUUCAAGUAAGCUGAUGAUUACUUGUGAUCCUCUGUGUUUUAGAUGAAGUAAGUGCUAGGAGAACAAAUCCAUAUGGUUUUUCUUUUGUGGAACUACAUGAUGUGGAGCCACAAAGGAAGUCUUGAUUAUUCCAGCAUGGGUGAAAUCUUGGCUAAAGAGCAAGUGUUUAGUAACAGGAGCUGUUGGAUUGGUGGUGAAGAGUACAAGUACUUGAAGUACAAGACCUGAUGCUGCAAAACUGAGAAAUGUUUGCUGACUGUUGCUAUAUCUGGCUUGAAUGUAAGAAAGCUUUUAAUGAUAAUGCAAAAGGGUUUCAAGUAGUGAAAGCAGGAAAGAAGGGUCUUAAAGGUGCCUGAACAUUGUGUAAAAGGGAGACCAGUGGUAGCACAGGCCUAAAUAAUCCCUGCUGUGUUUAAUAGGGAUUAGGUGCUCUGUUUAGGACAGAGUUAACCCUGAGCUUGAGGUGCAUGUGGCUUGUUUCAGGGGGAUUUAUAGAAAAGAUCAAGUUCAGCUUCUCCCUUAGAAUCAGCCAAUCCCAAGAACUUCCCAACAUCCCUCUUCAUACAUCUGUCUUUAAGCAGUUUAUCACAACAGCUGAAGAAUAUAAUGUAUUUUGUUGCUGAUCUGGAUUUUUCCUGGUUUUAUGCCACACAUUGCUUUUCUGCAAGUGUUGUAUUUUUGUCGGUCACUGAGGAAUGACUCUAUUGAGUGCCAAGAUGUCACUACGAAAGAGUUAUUGCUUUCUCACGGAGUGUGCAAGGAGUAAAGGAGGUUCCUGGUGUGUGUCUGCUUCAGUUGACCUAACCUGGGAAUGAAAUAUGUCAAUUCUUCACAGGGAAGGAAUCAUUUCAUCCUUGUUUGUUACUUUGUUCCUGCUACAUAUAAUUUUAUUGGUUCCUGGUCCAUUCUUCAGGUUAAUGAGUUCAUACAGUAUAUUCCAAACUAAUCAGUCAAAUAAAAAGCACCUCUCAGU